ensembl:lncRNA
ACGGAGCAGAUCACAAACACAGUUUUAGUGUAUAAAAUUAUUUAAGCGUGAUUGGGUCAAUGGCUGAGGCGAAAACACCCUUGGAUUAUAUGCAUCCAAUUUAGAGAAACAAAAAGACGCAGCCGAAUUAUUAUAUGUUUCGGUUCAUAAAGGUGGAAACGAAAUUGAUAAUAUGCAGACUUGGAGAUUGUAUGUCAGAUUUAUUUAUCAAUAUAAUACAAUCAUGCUGCAGUUUAAGCAGAUGACUUUGUGUCAGUUUCAUUUAUGACCCAUGGUAUAGGCAACCAUUUAGGCAUUUUAGACAAGUGGCAUUUUUAUUUUAAAAUCAUUUUAAUUAUUAUUAUUAUUCUUUUUCUGUUUAUACAGUAGGUUCAACAAGCCGUAUUUAACUAAAAACCUUCCAAGUACCCUGGGACCUCGGUUGUCUCAAGUGAUCCUGAUUAUCCUGUUUGAUCUACUUCUUGAGGACUGGAAGUUCAACCACUUUCAUAACAAUACCACAUUUAUGUCAAGUGAAGGUUCUUUCAAAUGGAGGUCUCUAAAGAGGAAGAGGCAAAACUUAAGCUGUGAAAAAUGACAGGGUGAAAGAGACCUCCCCAUCAUGGCUAACCCCACCACAGAUGUAUGAUGAGCCCCUCAAGCCUUCUGGGUAAAUGAGAACAAGCUCUUUGCUGAUUGGAUUAAAGCCUACGGUUUGGUGAUGUGAGAUUAAGGGAACAUUAAAGAGAGGGAGUGCCUGAGAUCCAUUUAAGAGUCUCUGUGUUCAAAUCUAUACGCAUAUACUUUCGUCUCCAAUAACUCGUAUAUCCAAACCAAUUGAUAAUUGACCCGUAUCAUCUUUUGCCAUAAUUCACUUCUGGGAUAUUGUAAGUGUUAGUUUGGCUUGGCUUGCAUACGUAUUAGUGCUCUAUUAUGAAAGUUUCACAUGGGUUGAUUGGGAUUGAUCAGUGGUCCAUACUGCUGCAUAAGCCAAAUAAUGGCUGUCUCCUAGGGAGAGUCUGGUUGGCCGAGUCACAAUAGAUGUAAAUGCAAUUGAUUGACUGUAAGAGUCUAAGUGAUUUGGCCCUGUAAAUCGGGCAAGCCGAGUGAUGGCUGCGUUGGAGAGGAUUCUCUCACAUACGUCACAAGAAAUUUCUUCUGUUCUUUCAUCUUCUAGUUGUGUUUGUGUGCAAAUUGAGGAAAGAACCUGAGUUGGAAGGGCUUGAGGAAAGUGUAAGUGUGGUAAAAUCAGCCAGGAAAAAGUACUUCUUUAACAAGCAAAUCUAUUUACAACCCCUCUGAGACCCGAAUGGACCGGACUGCAUCUCAUUCUGCUCUCCUUCAUCACUUAGAGAGGUCAUUGACUUCCCCAACAGCCUCCCUGUCCCAAAAGGCAUUGGCUCCGUGGGCUGCCAUCAGCUGGUGACUGGAUGCUCAUACCAGAAUUAAUGUAAUCAGUAAUUACUGGAUGAGCCGGAAGGACAGCAUGUCUGAAGUCUAACACAUGAAAACAUGCAAAUAAAAAUUAGCAGUGUAUGUUAAAAUGUUCA